UUCAUGUUGUCUUUACUCUUGUUUAUAUACAAUGAACAAUAAUUGAAUUAGCACAAAGAAUUUCAUUUUUGCUUUUGAAGAAAUGAAAGGAUUCCUUUCUCACUCUUUUCUUGCAGCACUGGUGGCAGCAUUCAUCACACCAAACCAUAACAAUUUUGCUGCUGCAGUGGAUUCCAAGGAUAUCAACAACAGUACUCAAGAUCACAGAUACAUAGGACUUCACUGCCGAUGAAAUCGACUUUUUCAUCGAUCAAAGACGAUCAAGCAGAAUGCUUGCGAGUAAUAAUUUUCAAAUAUCUCAACCAACUUCUAAUUCCGGUCAACAAUCACCUUUUUGUCAACCAAAUAAUCUGCAAGCUUCAAGUUCAUGUCUUAGCAGUCCUCAGUUGAUUAAACAAGGAAGGAACUGUGAUCAUAGAAACAGAAAUUAUCCUUACUGUACAUAAUGAUGACAUUUAUUGCACGACAUUCUAGGACAACAACUUGUACUCAGAGGGAAGAAGAAGAUUGGAAGAAGUUGGGAGAAAAGGAGAAGCAACAAUUGUAUUCCUAGGGCACACGUGAUAACAAUCUACGUUGGUAGGAGAGCUAAUUUGAAAGGAUAAAAACAAGGCGCUAGAAGACAUAAAUUCAGUAUGUAGUAGAACCACUAAGUGUGUCAUGCAACAAAAAGGAUAACGCCACUUUGUCUCCCAUUAUUGUUUGUACUUGAUUCCAAUGUUGUACCAAUGAGAAGAAAUGGAGGGAACUUUGCUUUU